GACGAACGCUGGCGGCGUGCUUAACACAUGCAAGUCGAACGGAGAGGCCCUGCUUUUGUGGGGUGCUCGAGUGGCGAACGGGUGUGUAACACGUGAGUAACCUGCCCUUGACUUUGGUAUAACUUCGGGAAACUGGGGCUAAUACCGGAUAGGAGCUCCUGCUACAUGGUGGGUGUGGGAAAGUUUCGGCGGUUGGGGAUGGACUCGCGGCUUAUCAGCUUGUUGGUGGGGUAGUGGCUUACCAAGGCUUUGACGGGUAGCCGGCCUGAGAGGGUGACCGGCCACAUUGGGACUGAGAUACGGCCCAGACUCCUACGGGAGGCAGCAGUGGGGAAUAUUGCACAAUGGGCGGAAGCCUGAUGCAGCAACGCCGCGUGAGGGAUGACGGCCUUCGGGUUGUAAACCGCUUUCGGCAGUGAAGAAGCGUGAGUGACGGUAAUGGGUAAAGAAGCACCGGCUAACUACGUG
rnacentral:rRNA from 1 species